UACAGAGGAUGCAAGCGUUAUCCGGAAUGAUUGGGCGUAAAGCGUCUGUAGGUGGCUUUUAAGUCCGCCGUCAAAUCCCAGGGCUCAACUCUGGACAGGCGGUGGAAACUACCAAGCUGGAGUACGGUAGGGCAGAGGGAAUUUCCGGUGGAGCGGUGAAAUGCGUAGAGAGUACGGAAAGAACACCAACGGCGAAAGCACUCUGCUGGGCCGACACUGACACUGAGAGACGAAAGCUAGGGAGCGAAUGGG
rnacentral:rRNA from 1 species